UGGGGAAUAUUGCACAAUGGAGGAAACUCUGAUGCAGCAACGCCGCGUGGAGGAUGACACUUUUCGGAGCGUAAACUCCUUUUAUAUAGGAAGAUAAUGACGGUACUAUAUGAAUAAGCACCGGCUAACUCCGUGCCAGCAGCCGCGGUAAUA
rnacentral:rRNA from 1 species